ACAUGACAGCAGAUUUUUCUGACAUCAGCAACAUUCUGACAGAGCAGAACAGCAGCAGCAAGUUUCCCUCCAGGAACGCUAACGUCACUGAAACGGCUCCACGAGCUGAAGACACUUUAAGGGAAAUUGUGUCCUACAGAACGAACAAACAUCAAUUGUUCCUGAUCAUCCAGGGGCUGCGGAAGAAGAGAAGAACAGAUCCACUAGUGAUGGAUGAUUAGGAUCUGUGUUCACUGUGAUAUUAUUCACCAACAAUAAUGUAGCUUACGGUGUUACGUAAAACCCUAAAGAUAAAAUGUUCACUCCCAACUGUUGUGACCUGCAUCUAAUAACACAACUAUUUUACCGCUUGUACUCUGUGUUUUUCUUUCUUGUUAAAACUCUGACGUGAUAAACAAACGUUAGAGGAUAGUUUUGUGCGGAGGAUCGGUUUAGCAUGAUGCGCUCUGAAUGUGUCUUAAUGUGACUUUUAGUAUGAGACUUUAUGCAGUUCUAGUUGUGUCCGGUAAUAACGGAUUAAAUUCUAUCUUGGUAGAAUUAUAUUUCUAUAUUUCCAAUUAUUUACUAUCAUUUGUAAUAAAGUGAUGCCAACACCAUGGA